rnacentral:rRNA from 1 species
CAAGUCGAACGAUGAAACCGCCCUCGGGCGGACAUGAAGUGGCGAACGGGUGAGUAACACGUGACCAACCUGCCCCUUGCUCCGGGACAACCUUGGGAAACCGAGGCUAAUACCGGAUACUCCUCGCCCCCCUCCCUGGGGGGGCCCCGGGGAAAGCCCAGACGGCAAGGGAUGGGGUCGCGGCCCAUUAGGUAGUAGGCGGGGUAACGGCCCACCUAGCCCGCGAUGGGUAGCCGGGUUGAGAGACCGACCGGCCACAUUGGGACUGAGAUACGGCCCAGACUCCUACGGGAGGCAGCAUG